ensembl:lncRNA
UUUUUCUGCUGUUCAGGAAACACUUUAUUGAUUAAUAGGCAGUCAAAAAAACAAAAAAACACCAGGCAAGUUUAGUGGGACAUACAGUAACAGAUCAUGAAUACGGAAAAUCAACUCCACAUCUUCCUUGUAUACCUACCGGGUAAAAGCCAUGAGGCUACGACUCAAGACUUCUGAACUGCAGGUCUCCAGUGACCUUGGCUUUGGCCAGGGACCCCAAAACGCUGAUCGCCCUUUCCUUACCAUAACACUUUUUGUGUCAUUUACUGUGCUUAUUCUGAACUUGUUUUAAACUUUUUUUCUCUCAAUACUCUGUUUCUCUCAUAAAAGCAGAAACUGGGUCACCUCUUACACUUUCAAACUUAUUCUUUUUGGGGUCCCUAGCCAAUGCCAGAUGCUUUAAGAGAAUGUGACAGAGUGGGAGGUCACAACCGAUUGAGAGGGAAUAAUAAACCCAGGAAGGCUUCCUAGAGCAGGCAGCAUUUGAAACGACCUUUAAGGAUGCACAGGAUUUCAGUAGCCUGGCUGCCCAACAUAGACUCAUCCAGGAAGAACUGCCAGAGGAUUAAAACUCAUGCUGAGUUCAAUCAAAAAUCACCACUGGAGUGUGAAAGGAGCUUUCCUAAUUAAGCAAUUCCAGAACAUUUCCCAGCUCUUGACCGCAUGAGUAGUAGUGGGGAACUGCUAUAUCCGGGUGGGCUGGGACCAAGUCUUCUCCACGGAUGGCUAGCAGGGUGGCCUAGAAAAGGGCCUUGGGCGUCUGACAUGGAGCAAUGUGCAUUGGUAUGCUGUACCCCACAGCGGGUGGGUAUCAGGGACCACCAUCAAGGAGACCUGAGUACCUGGAUCUCUACCUGAGUACCUGGAUCUUGAUCUGGAUAUCUGGAUCUCUACCUGAGUACCUGAAUCUCGAUCUGGGCAUCUGGAUUUCUACCUGGGCACCUGGAUCUGUACCUGAGUGCCUGGAUCUCUGCCUGGGCACCUGGAUCUCUACCUGGGCACCUGGCUCUCUGCCUGGGCAUGUGGAUCUCUGCCUGGGUACCUGGAGCUGCAGCGCUUCAGACUGAAGAUGUUUCCAGCAUAGGGUAAAGAACAUGCCAGCUAGUUUGGUUCCGCUGAGGCUCAUUCUUGGAAACUGGAGAGACUGGGUGUCUGUCCAUCCCCUGGGGACUGGAUAUCUCCACGGGUUCUUGGCCUUACCCGAUCAACAGCAAUUGAUGACAGACCAGACAAGAAAAUUCAGGCAAGCUUUAUUCAGGCUCCUGCUACAGCAGUGGGCAAUGAAAACAAGUAACAGGCCCCCUUGCUUGUUCCCCAAGUGGAGGGAGCUGGCUCCUUCCAUGGGGCGAGGGCAGGAGGCAGGUCCAGGGGUCAGGCAGAGCGGGGCCUGGGUGGGCAAACCUGGGAGGUGCUGUGUGCAGGGGACACGUGCAGGACCCUGCGUUUGCUCUCCACCCCCUGCUUUUGCUCCAGGUGCCUCAAAAGUGGCAGUUGGCUUUUGAGUCUUUCUGUUAUGUUAUUGUCCAGCAUUUGCCCCAGCUGCACAUCACAGUCAUGUCUAGUCCUUACCGUCUCUUUGUCUUUUGUUGCUGGAGGAGAUGCUGUCUAGGUACAGCAGUGUCCCAGGUCCCAGCCGGCCUCACGUGGAGAGUGACAAGCCCGGUCAGUUCACCGUUGGGCAUUUCAGGCCGAAAUCACGUGUUCACUGUGAAAAACUUAGAAACCAGGAGGUCUGUGUCUUUUUUUCCAGUGGUGGUGAUGCUUAUUUUAAUGAGAGGCACGAGCUUCGCCCAACUGCCUGGGACCUGACUUCUGAAGCGCUCAGGGCGGAGGAGGGAGGAGACCCCCCAAGGACCACCUGGCGGGUUUGCAGCCCCGAGCCACGGCCACGGUAAACCCCCUGGGCAGCUGGAGCCCUGAACACAGGCGCCUCACACCCAGGACGACAAGGCUUCCAUGCUGUCUUCCCUGCCUCGCUGAAGCCCAGGGCUGAGCUAUCGGAGAAGGUGGGAGCUGGGGGGUGGGGGCGAGGGGGCAGGCAAGGAGGAAGGAAAGAAGAAGGAGACGGAAAAAAUCCUUUUAAAAAAAGCCUUCGACAGAACCCGAUAACCUGGAGUACACGGUGAUGGGUGCCGGACGGCAUACAAAUGCCAAAAGGCAAGUCCCAGGCCGGGCCAACGUAAGGCUCAAUAUUUGCCUUUCCCUGAGCAAGCUAAUAAAUCCCCUACAGUUUUAGCCACGCAGAGCUCCCAGUUUUUAUUUAUUGGUCAAGACGGCAGGCAGGUUUUUUCUCUGCCUCCCAGUCACCCCGGGCAAACAGCGGGCCCCCUCCCCCUGGCCUGUCAUCAGUCUGUAUGUCUAUUUGCCUUCUCCUUCGACAAACUCUUGCUCGGUGCACUGACAAGUACAAACGGCUUUGAAGGAGUCGUUGGUAAUGGACUUCCUAAGACAGCCCUGUCUCUGGCUGGUGUGGCCGAAGGCAAAGCAAGAGCUACCUGUCAGCCAUGGGCUGCGUCAGACAAGGCUUAGAACGGGACACACGGGAGGAGAACUUGGAGGACCAUUAAGACCACCCCCUUCCUCUCCCAUUUUAUUGAUGGGAAAAACUGAGACCUGGAGAAAAAGGCUUGAGUGACUUAUACAUGAGCUUGGAGCAAGCUGAAAUCAACCCGGGGACUGCCCUGGAGGUCCAGUCAUUAAAACUCUUUGCUUCCAUUGCAAGAGGUGAGAGUUCAAUCCCUGGUCAGGGAACAAAGAUCCCACACGCCAUGAGACGCAACCAAAAAAUAAAUCAUCAGAUAGACAAACAACUGCUGGAUACUUUUUAAAAACUUAAGGGAAAAGGAAAUUAAGGCUAGGACUUGAGCCAGAGAGAAGAAAAAAUAGCAAAAUUUUUAAGUCAUGAACUCUAUCCUUCCAUAUGGCGACACUGUGGAUGACAUGGCUAGAAGGGGUUUUGGGGAAUGUGUGAUGUGACUCCCUCAUUUUACACGGAAAGAGCUGAGAAGUGGGACUUCCUGGGACAAAAACUCAGGUCUCCUUGUCUCCCUACUCUCUGCUUUUUUAUCAGCGUAAGACACACAGCCGGACCCAGAAAUGAGAUGCCUUUGGCUCACUAUCAGAUGAAGAAAUUGACACAUGUGGAUGAAGUACUCCUUGGAAUUCUGCUGUCCCCCCUAAGGCUGAACAUCAUCCAACCUUCUCUCCCAGGUCUCUCUCAAGCUGCCAGAAAGGCUGCCUCCCCCACGGCCUGCCCAUCCCGCAUCCGAUGCUGGAAACGGGAUUCCCGCACUAGUCGAGGGUAGAUCUAGAUAACAGCGAUGCUCUAGACCACUUCAGGCUCUGGGGAUCUGGGAUUCGACGUGGAUGAGAAGAGAAGAAAAGAGGGAAAAAGAGGAAACUUCUGCUUUUGGCACCACAGUGGGACUUCUUCUGGAACCAAUGACCACAUGUGGGGUAUAAAAAUGAGGGAAACAUCUGAAAUGAGUCCUUUUUUUUAAAAAAAAAAAGAACAAUGACACCCCAGGAACUGGCCAGUGUUCCUUCAACAGCAGUGAAGGCACGGAAAUUCAGGACACAGGGAAAGACACACGUGCAGGAGGUUGGGUCUUUAUCUCGACAGGUGUGCAGUGACAGAGUCUUUUCCAGAUGCUUGCGUGCUCAUCUCUACCCUAGUAGGUGAUGACCUCCGUACACCCCCGCCCCCCGCCGGGGCCACCAAACAAGAUGAGCAGGGUUAGAUGAGAUGCUUAAGCCUGUCUUUCAGCAGAAGAGAUAAAGCCCUGAUCCUCUGACAAGAAGCAACAACUUCAGGAUGGCAUGCGCUCCCGAAAGCCUGGCUUUCACUCACCUGGGAAGAACCUGUAAUUUGCCUUCUGGUUGUUCUCACUUGUCGAGAGCACCCCCAAACUGUGGCUGGCGCAACCUCCUUCUCUCUCCCCCGCUACCACUACCAAGUUCCGCUGCCUUAUCCCAGAUAAAGCCCGUGUCUGGAAAGGGAAGGGAAUUGGGGGAGGGGAGUUCCGAGUCUACAGCAUCUGAGCUGACCUCGAAGGUUAUCCAGGAGACUUCAGACAGAAAGCACACACUUCGGCCCAGUUUACACGCCCCUGAUAUUUUACGGGACCCUAGAGGUCAAAGGAAUGUCAGGAAGUCUUCCAGCCAACUCCUUCACUCUCCAGACAACACCACCCCAAGAGUUUUUAGCUCUUAGUCUGUCUAGCUAAGAUGCAGAAAUUUUCUUCUUGGCUCUUAUUUUAUACAAACGUGUGACACACACACACACACACACACACACAUCCCACAGUCUAUUUUCCAUUGUUUCCAGUGGCUGUAUUAUUUUUGUUUCAUCAUGAGCUGUUUUGUUCUCAACAGAAAAGGUUCACUUCAUCAACAGGACUUGGGUUUUGUGGGGCCCCAUCUAUGGUCCGGACACACUGGAAAGAAGGGGUCCUCUAGAAACACCAUCAACUCUGGCCGCUGGAUAGUCUGUAACGAAGCACGGUGUUCUGACGUGGACUCCGACUGCCCCGCUGGGAGCUGAUCACGCAUCUGUGUCAACAGAAGACGUGUCCGUGUUCUGCUCCUCCAGACGUGCACCUGUGUGCAAUCCAAACCGAGAAGGUGAACGUGGGUGACGCCAGCCUUCAGGAUCCAGCUGCCUGCGAGGGCCCCUCCAACGCCCUAGCAUCUUUACAGCCUGAAGAAUUUCUGCACAGACCUGCAUCAUGUUGGAGCCUGUGGGGCCAGACCCCACACACAUACAAUGAGGAGGGAUGCUCUUCCAAGGCUGCUUGUACAGCAACAUGCAAACACCGGCCUUUUCAGAAGGAGCAAAAUGUAAGAUCAGUAGACUUAUGUGUAGUGAACUUUUUGCUCUAUAUCCAGCUGAGAAGUGAUGGAGUAAAAGAGAACUGCUGAGUCCGAAGGCUCAGCAGACGUGGGAGGUGGCGAGAAUGAAAGAAUGCAGGAGAAAACCCUCUGGUUUCCGAGGACUGGUGGGGGACGGUCUGAAGACCAGGCACCAGCAGAAGAAGUUAUAAGGUCCACGGUCAUGGCUUCCCCUUCAGCUGGAGGUGGCCUCCUGUUCACACAGGUCAACACACACAGGAUUCCUCAGGCCGAGGUUCUUUGCUUUCUCCUCAAACAUCUUCUUAAAUCCAGAAGCUCCUUUAGCCUCCAGAAAGCGUGUGUGUGUUAGUCACUCAGUUGCGUCCAACUCUUUGCAACCCCAUGGACCUGUAACCUGCCGAGCUCCUCUGUCCAUGGGACAAGAAUUCUGGAGUGGGUAGCCAUUUCCUUCUCCACGGGAUCUUCCUGACCCAGGGAUCGAACCUGGGUCUCCUAUGUUGCAGGCAGAUUCUUUACCAACUGAGCCACCAGGGAAGUCCAUUCUCCAAAAUAAGACUUCUCAUUCCAAUCCAGAGCACUUGCCUCUUAAGAGAAGGUCCCAUCUUAGCUCCUUGGGGUCUUCCUGGUUACACUGAGGUUCCUGGUGGGGACUGUGGGCGAGAGGAACAGUUCUCCACCUGUCCUGCCUCCCAGGCCUGUGGACAAAAAAACAGCAACACAGUGAGUCUGCAUUCUGUCCUUUCAAUGGAGGAAUUUGAACAACGAACAUCACCUUACUGCCUUUAAUCCAGAAUGUUCUAGCUACUGAAUAGAACACUGUUGUUGUUCUUCAGUUGCUCGGUCGUGUCCGGCUCUUUGUGACCCCCAACUACUGUAGCCGCCAGGCUCCUCUGUCCAUAGCAUUUCCCAGGCAAGAAUAAUGGAGUGGGUUGCAUCUCCUUCUCCAAGGGUAUCUUCCCAACCCAGGGAUCGAACUCACAUCUCCUGCGCUGGCAGGCAGAUUCUUUACUGCUGAGCCACCUGGGUGGCCCAACGUUCCUUCAAGCAGUAUUUUAGCUAAGGCAGGGAAAAGGCCUGUUUAUACUGUUCAAGUUUCCUUUGCAGCUCAGAUGGUAAAAAAUCCACCUGCCAAUGCAGAAGAUCCGGGAUUGAUCCCUGGGUUGGGAAGAUGUCCUGGAGAAGGAAAUGGCAAACCACUCCAGUAUUCUUGCCUGGAGAAUUCCAUGGAGAAUGGAGCCUGGCAGGCUAUAGUCCAUGGAGUCAGAAACAGUCGGACAUGACUAAGUGACUAACACAUACUGUUCAAGGAACUCUGUACACUGAAUCCCUGUCUCCAGUGUACAGGGAUCAAGACCAUCCCCAUGGAAAAGAAAUGCAAAAAAGCAAAAUGGGUGUCUGGGGAGCCCUUACAAAUAGCUGUGAAAAGAAGAGAAGCAAAAAGCAAAGGAGAAAAGGAAAGAUAUAAGCAUCUGAAUGCAGAGUUCCAAAGAAUAGCAAGAAGAGAUAAGAAAGC